rnacentral:rRNA from 1 species
CGGACGGGUGGAGUAACGCGUGGGUAACCUGCCUUGUACAGGGGGAUAACAGUUGGAAACGGCGUGCUAAUACCGCAUAAGCGCACAGCAUCGCAUGAUGCAGUGUGAAAAACUCCGGUGGUAUAAGAUGGACCCGCGUUGGAUUAGCUAGUUGGUGAGGUAACGGCCCACCAAGGCGACGAUCCAUAGCCGACCUGAGAGGGUGACCGGCCACAUUGGGACUGAGACACGGCCCAA